AUGGGAUCCGUCGCGGCUAGCUCUGCUCACCUCAGGGGCGCUGUGGCAUGCCCAACCGUGUCCUUGGCCGGCGGCAAGAUGGGAGCCAUCACGGCUAGUGGUGCCCGUCUCCAGCGCACCCAAGGCCAUGCCAAGGUUCUGUCCAGCCCGCUCCGUGGAGAUGGUGCCAUGGUGGAACUGCUGCACCGUCAGCCGAUGGCCGAGAUGCCGCGCAGUUGCACUAGAAGGUGCGAGCUUGAUGCAGACUCAACAGGAAAAGGAGCAAGAACAUACCUACAGACGAUGAAGUGCCAGGAGCUCCGUCCAUGCUGA
rnacentral:rRNA from 1 species